rnacentral:rRNA from 1 species
UACGUAGGGGGCGAGCGUUGUCCGGAGUUACUGGGCGUAAAGGGCAUGCAGGCGGUCCGACACGUUUUGUGUGACAGCGGGUGGCUUAACUACCCGAGGAUGCGAAAGACGGUUGGACUUGAGGACUCGAGAGGGACACGGAAUUCCGGGUGGAGUGGUGAAAUGCGUAGAGAUCCGGAGGAACACCGAAGGCGAAGGCAGUGUCCUGGCGAGUGACUGACGCUGAGGUGCGAAAGCCAGGGGAGCGAACAGG